rnacentral:rRNA from 1 species
UCUAGCCAUGCCGNGUGUGUGACGAAGGCCUUAGGGUNGUAAAGCACUUUNGCCUGUGAUGAUAAUGACNGUAGCNGGUAAAGAAAAGGUCCCCGGCCGAACUCCGAUGCCAGCAGNCAGCUGUAAUCCGGAGGGGGUUAGCGUUGUUCGGAAUUACUGGGCGUAAAGCGCACGUAGGCGGAUUGGAAAGUAUGGGGUGAAAUCCCAGGGCUCAAGCCUGGAACGGCCUCAUAAACUUCCAGUCUGGAGUUCGAGAGAGGUGAGUGUAAUUCCGAGUGUAGAGGUGAAAUUCGUGGAUAUUCGGAGGAACACCAGUGGCGAAGGCGGCUCACUGGCUCGAUACUGACGCUGAGGUGCGAAAGUGUGGGGAGCAAACAGGAUUAGAUACCCUGGUAGUCCACACCGUAAACGAUGAAUGCCAGUCAUCGGCAAGCAUGCUUGUCGGUGACACACCUAAGGGAUUAAGCAUUCCGCCUGGGGAGUACGGCCGCCAGAUUAAAACUCAAAGGAAUUGACGGCU